rnacentral:rRNA from 1 species
UACGGAGGUGGCUAGCGUUGUUCGGAAUUACUGGGCGUAAAGCGCACGUAGGCGGACUGGAAAGUCAGGGGUGAAAUCCCGGGGCUCAACCCCGGAACUGCCUUUGAAACUCCCGGUCUUGAGGUCGAGAGAGGCGAGUGGAGUUCCGAGUGUAGAGGUGAAAUUCGUAGAUAUUCGGAGGAACACCAGUGGCGAAGGCGGCUCACUGGCUCGAUACUGACGCUGAGGUGCGAAAGCGUGGGGAGCAAACAGG